rnacentral:rRNA from 1 species
GGGGAAUAUUGGGCAAUGGGCGAAAGCCUGACCCAGCAACGCCGCGUGAAGGAAGAAGGCUUUCGGGUUGUAAACUUCUUUUGGCAGGGACGAAGAAAGUGACGGUACCUGCAGAAUAAGCUCCGGCUAACUACGUGCCAGCAGCCGCGGUAAUACGUAGGGAGCGAGCGUUAUCCGGAUUUACUGGGUGUAAAGGGCGCGUAGGCGGGAAUGCAAGUCAGAUGUGAAAUCUCCGGGCUCAACCCGGAAACUGCAUUUGAAACUGUAUUUCUUGAGUGAUGGAGAGGCAAGUGGAAUUCCUAGUGUAGCGGUGAAAUGCGUAGAUAUUAGGAGGAACACCAGUGGCGAAGGCGACUUGCUGGACAUUAACUGACGCUGAGGCGCGAAAGCGUGGGGAGCAAAC